AUUAAAGCCAGUGAAUAAAACUAAAGGUCACUUUAAAGGAGUAUAAAGCUACAGUGGACAUAACGUGGCAUAGGUGAUCUUGACACCACAGAACUGUGAAGCCUGCAAUCCUACAAUAUAGAGGGGUAUGAGGAAGACAUCUCAGGAUACUGAAGAGUGUUGCAGAGGACCCACAAAUAGUCCUGAGCAUGAGAUGGUGGACAACAAACCCAUUUUUGGUUAGGUGUUGCAGCAAGAGCGCUGGCCUGCCAUGAUCUGCUACAUUCUACCUGGAAAUACAAGUCAGAAGUCAGCCUGUCAUAUUUUUUCAAAAGGUGACUUGUCAAAAUGAGACUUCUUUCAUAAAAUCAGUCUGGUUGGGCAUGGUGGCUCACGCCUGUAAUCCUAGCACUUUGGGAGGCUGAAGUAGGUGGAUGGCUUGAGCCCAGGAGUUUGAGACCAGCCUGGGCAACAUGGCAAAAUCCCAUCUCUACAAAAAAUACAAAAAUUAGCCGGGCAUAGUGUCACACACCUGUGGUCCCAGCUACUCAGGAGACUGAGAUGGGAGGAUCACCUGAGCCCGGGAGGUUAAGGCUGCAGUGAGCCAGGAUUGGGCCACUGCACUACAGCAUGGGUGACAGAGUGAAAUGCUGUCUCAAAAAACAACAACAAAAAAUCUCUCAAUCUGUCCAAAUAGUUAGAUUGUCUUCAGUAAUCUUUCCAUCGCGAUCUUGCUUUGUUUCUACUACUACUCUGAUGCUACAUAAUUAAGGUCACCAAUCGUUGUCACUGUCUUUCCAAACCUGUUGUUCCUUACUUCCUCCGGCCAUUCUUCCUUGUCCCCCUCCCAUUCAUCAUCCAGACACACACACACACACACACACACACACACACACACACACACACAUACAUUUUAACAAUACCAAACUCCUUGUAGUUCCCCUAAAUGAAUCAUGUUGUUUCCCUUACCUGAAAUGCCCAAUCCCUUUUUUAUUUUCAUUGCUAACUCCUCUCAUCUUUCCAGAGUGUUCACGUCUACCAGGAGUGUUCUUGUCCCUCCCAUUCCUUUCUACUCUAGCUCCACUCACAGUUCUGUGUAAUCCCAUCUUGUGGACUAACCCGUGUUAAAAAGAUUUGUUUGCUGAUUUGAUUCUUCCCUCCACUACACCCCCCCAUAACACAAAAUGAGUCCCUUAAAAGCAGAAAUGUUGCCUCACUGGUCUCCAGCACCCAGUGGAGUAUUUGGUAUGAAUGUCGGUCGAACUGUACUCUCUCCAGUGUGCAUUUUGUUCCAGGAAGACUAGGUAAUAGCAGGAGCAUUAGAAGCCUCAUCUUCAGGGCUGUUUGACAUUGAUUUUUUAAAAAAUACAUUUCCUGAGGUCUCACUAGUGCCAGAAUAUGAAAAAAAUAAUCAUUCUUCUCUGACUAAAGUGGAAUCACCAGUGAUUUAUUCUCUCCUUAAUCAGUAAUACUAGCUAACAUUUAUAUAGCCCUCACUAGGUCCCAAGCACUUUGAACAUAUCAUCUUAUUUCAUGUCUAUAACCACCUUCAGGUAGGCACUGUUGUUACCCUCCAAUUUACAAAGGAGGAAACUGAAGUGCAGGGAGGUUAAGUAAGUGGCAAGCUAGAAUCUGGAUACAGGUUGUCUGGUUCCAGGGACCAGGCAGUUAGCCAUUAUGCUAUGCGGCAUGAUUUCUUGCUUUCCUUGCCCUUUUUUCUUAAAUGUUUAAUUACAUAAGUAGCAUAUCAAUACAUUUAAAUUGUCAAAAAUUCAGAAACAAAGCAAAAACUCACUACUAUUUGAUGGGUAUCUUUCAAGAUCUUUUUCUUUGUUUACAUACAUAUAUACAUUAUGUGUGUGUACAUAUACACAAAGAAAUAUGUAUUUUUAUGUAACUGGAUUAUGCCUUAUUUUUCUAUAGAUUUGUUUUCAUUUAACAAUUUGUCUUAAAGGUCUUUUCAUAUCGAUGCAUAUUGAUCUAUUUUAUUCUUUGAAUGUUGCAUAGUAUGGAUAUAUUCCAUAGAAUGGGUGUAAUAUAGUUUAGGUAACCAUUUUUCUUUUGCGAGUCAUUUAUGUUGUUUCUGAUUUCACUGUUACAAACCAGGCUGCACUGAGUAUCCUUGAACAUGUCUCUUCACAUUCAUGCAACUAUACGUCUAGGAAAGAUCCUCAGAAAUAAAAUUGUUGGGAUGAAGUUUGUGUUGACUUUUUUUUUUUUAAUGGUGACUCACAUCCUGCCUUCCAGGGAGGCUGUGGCUUUUAUUGUUUCAUCAUUCACAUAUUAAAAGGGUUGUGUACACUUGGUUGAAUUUAUGGCAGAGUAAAAAAUCAUAAUAAAAUAAAUAAAAGGGCUGUGGCUGGAGGUUUUCCAGGAAAUCAACUCUCUAUAAAAGCACUGCUCACACCCUAACAUGCCAAGGAAAGCAAAGGCCUUCUCUCUUCUCCACCUCAUCUUUAGGAAAAAGGAAUUUUGGCCUGAGUUGCAGAAUAAACAGUGUCCUUGAGAGCAUACAGUGGGAUUCCUGAAAAAGAAGGUGGCAGGCAAGAGGAAGGUGAAACUUUCUGUGGGAAGAAAUCAAGUGGCUCUGUCAAAAGACAAAAUUACAACCCAUUUAGUUAAAGAUCUUAAUAGGCUUUUAUCGGUGACUCUUGAAUCAGGCAACAACUCAAUCUGUAAAUGAGCUGAACAGAGAAGUUUGGCUUUAUAGACAAAAAGGGCUGGGGAAGCAGACAUAGAGAACAAAAAGUGGAUUAGUCAUUUUGAAGUUGCUUUCUUCCUAAAGGUUAAAGCAGAGGGGACUUCCUUAUCAUGCCGGGUAAAACUGGCCUGUUUGGGGAUUUGGCUCUCUCUCUCUCCCUGCCACCCCCAACCCCCUGAUUCCUUGGAAGUUCAGAUAAACACCUUGGUUUUGGUU
rnacentral:lncRNA from 10 species